rnacentral:tRNA from 2 species
GUGGGGAUAGGUGAGUUGGUAGAGGAGAGGAGUGAAAAUGGUGGUGUGAGGAGUUGAAAUA